CUCCACUCUCUACCCUUCAUGCUCUGCGAAGAUGACCCUGUGGACUGCAUCAAUUGGGCCCCAUUGACUUCUGACUUCCAAUGAGAGGCACCAGUAGAAAAUAGCCCCAUUCAUUUUCCUGCUUUCUUUACUGCUUGGAUAUUGAUCUUCAAUAAACAGAAAAUGGAAACCCUAAAACAGUACCAUUAUCCACUUAGAAUACAGCAGGCUGAAACCAGCAACAAAAUGAAGAUAUAUAUUUCCAGCCUAUAUUUUGAGCAUCGUGGAACUUUCUGGAUGCAGCACAAACCAGGGGGGAGUUACCAUUCUGUAGGAAUUGUGGCCAAUGUGGAUAAAGAACUACCACUGAAAAGAUGGAAGCCUACAGAACAGACCAAAAGAUAAAUGUUCUCUGAGUUUCUAAAAUGCUUAGAUGGGUUUCAUGACUUUUGCACCUUCUGAAACUGAAUUUUCUAUUAAUGAAACCACAAAAAUAAUAUGAUAUUUUUGGGAGUUUAUACUCAAAGUUGGCUAACAAUAAUGAAGUGGAAUGGAGACACUUAGGGACUCUAUUAUAGAUGGCAUGACAGGAAUAGAUAGCAUAAAUAAUUGGUAUCUUUAAACUCCUGAGGCCGACUCUAAACAAUAUCUUUCAUAUCUAUGUUCUCCUUCUUUUAAAUCCAUGUAUUUCAUAAGUCCUGAUAACUUAAAUGAUUGAAUUCCACAAAGGUGUCCUGACUCAGCUCACCCUCUCCUGGAGGUGUUAAUGAACAGUGAAACAGUGACGAAAACAGUAGCAGAGUGAAUAAAGGAGCUGAUGGGAACAAAA